AUCUUUGAAAACCAGCCAAGCUGCAGUCCUCCCCAACUCCCAUUUCAAGUCAGUUCUCUCCUCUCUGAAGACCUUAUCCUCUCUUCUAUCUUUCUUGCAUACUGUGAAAGGAGACAAUAUGGGGAUAAGAAACUCUUCGGCAAUCUAUAUAGACCCUGCAAUUCGUUCUUUUGCUGUGUGUGUGACCCAGGAGAGACAGUGGCAUGCAGAGAAACCAACCCAGCUCAGAAGACCCUGUCUCCAGCCCUGGAGCAGAGUGCUGGUGUGGUAAUACACUCUGACCCACCUCGUCCCAGAGCAGAGCUGGUCAGCAUCUGCGACAGUGGUCUGCUGGGACUGCCUCUGCGCCUGAGACCUGAGGUGCAAAAGUCACCAACAUGCUCAGAGCAAACUCCGAGCAAAAUUACCUAACCAUGGUGGUAUGCUCUGUGGCCUCAGGCAUUUUUCUAUUACUCAUGAAUAUUUCUCUAUCACAUGGAGUGGAAAAAUAAGUUUCUAAACCAACUUGUCAACACUUACUGCCACCAUCAUGUUCAAAAUUCUGAAAAUGACUUAGAAGAAGUUCAUUAGCCUCAAAACCUAACAGCUCUCUACUGCUCCGGCAAAUACAAAUGGAUUCAAAAUAGACACUUUGAUGUAGGGAAAGGAGGAAAGAGGACUCGCUUGUUUUAUGUGCAGUUUCAAGAAAGGCAUCUUCAAUUCUUGACCCACUGAAACAUAAAAGUCCAAGUCCAUACUUCAAAACCAAGACAUGCGUUUGAAAGUUCCACUGAGAAUUUUCUGGUUUAGACACUACAAUUUUCACCCUCACUUGCUUACACUGCCUCAGUUUUCCAUGAGUUAAACAGUGAUGAGUUUUCCUGUUUCACAAAAGUGCAGCAAGAAGGAACUCCCUUAGCAAGUAUGCAAUACUUUUUGUUGAAGUUUGAAGAAAAUGAAGAAUUGAAAUUACCUGCAUCACAGGUAUAUAACGUGCCCACCUGCUUUUUAUUUAUAUCAGUGUCAGCUGUAAUCUCAUCUUUUUUGACCACUACUACAAAUGCCGCUUUUACAAGUAGUACAGGUGCUGCUCCUUCUUCAGUGAAGACAGGAGAGUGCUCAGCAAGGCAGAGACAUAGGGCACAGUCAUUUAGGACCCGAAGUGAAUAAGAACAAAUUAAGAUAACAAAGCAAUAUAGGUGGACAGAUUUUGUGAACAGAAGACCUGUUUCACCUUUCCUGUUUUCUUCACCCACACCGGCCACUCUAGUUUUACGCCUUAGAGCUCUCUGCAUACCAACUAUACUGAUAUUAGAGCUUUUAAUGUGUACAUUAAUAUAUUUAUGUAUUCGUCAGUGGUCCAAAUGUUUGCAAACUAUGUGUGCAGGACUGCAGUUGAAAUAGAGUGUCUGAAGCUAUUUAGUACAACUGAAAUAAGUGUACUGUUAAUAACACUUCGGUUAGUAGUUUUAACAAAUCAUAUAAAUCAGGUCAGAGAUGGGACCAUUGAAUGUGCAUGUUAAAAACACAGGGUUUAUGUAAAUAUAAUGAAGGAUGUUAAAUGAUCCAGCACUGAUAAGGCAAGGAGGUGGCCAUGACUCCAGUGCUUGCAGUGAGUAGAUAAACACACAGACAUUUCAUUUCUAUUUCCUUCUUCAGUUGCCAGCAACAAAAGUAAAAAAACAAAAAGGCCAGUUUGCCCUAUCUGAAAAGUGCCAACAGUCUGAGAAAACAGCAUCCUGAAUGCACUGACUCCACCCUGAUUUGACAGUCUUUCAAAAGUGUCUCAAGAUUCAUACUGAAAAGUUGAAGACUUAAAAAGGACCUGGUCAUUUUGGAAAAUGUAAUACUGACAUUAACUGUUGCAUGGAGAUAAGGAGGCCCAGGAAGUAACAGAAAUGGGAUGCACACAUUCCAUUCCACUGGUCCAUGUACCAGCUCCUGUCUGCCCACAUCAGAAACCAGUAUGUGCCAUGUUCUCCCUGGCACUUCUGAAUGUGAAUCCUUCAUCUCGUGACAAGGGCUCAUGCCAUGUGCUACAAACCAAGGGGGAACAGCACAGCAUUCCUUAUUUCUGUUAUCCCGGGGACUUGCACGCCACUGCUCUUCCAUCUGUUUUAAGAGAGAAGUCAUUCAGCACAUCAACAUUUGAACUGCUGCUGGGACGAUGGGCAGAGCAGAGAUGGAGGAGGUGUUGUGCUGGAAGAUGUUAAGGGCUGCCCAUCAGCCAGCCCUUUGAUCCAGAAACACUUCCAGACCUGGUUAAAACUGCUGGGUCUGUGAACCAGAUGGUGGGGAUUCUUCACAUCCCCAGCUUCCCCCUCCCAGCUUCACAAUUCCCAUUGAAAGCAAUGAGAUUAUGUUCACUUCAGAAUUUGAACAGCCUUUCCAAGUUUUGGUUAAGUACAAACAGCAAGCAAAGGCAACUGAGCGUGGACAGGUGUACAAUCCUGCUUGACACCACAAACGCAUCAUUCACAGCCCUCUCUCCCCUCAUUUGCUAACAUAAAAUCUAAGUGACUUCACAGAACACAGUAAAAUUACACUGAAUUAAACGUGGUUCACCUGAGGCCACCACAAGGUAGUUGCUAACAGGAAAUGCCAGUGACUUUACCAGGAGCAGCAUCCUCACCGCUGCCAAAUAUUUUGUCCUGUAUCGCAGUUUCACAUCAAAACCACUCUGUCCCUGACUUAGAGUUGUAGCUAGUGGUGACAUCUGUGCUAGUUCCCUAAAUAAAACAAUGCCAAAUUGCGAUACAAAUGUGUUAUCUUGAGUGUGUUUGCUACUACAGCUCCUUUUCACAGCCCUAACAAAAUGCUUUGUGUCUGCACGUCUGUUCUAACACAACAGUUUUGUUUAUUUUAUAGGCUUACAAUAAAAAAAAAAAUCACACUUUAUGAGCUACAUGAUAAUAUUUCAACAAUACCUUGUUGUGACAUGAUGCAGUGUAAUUAUCCAGGAGAUACUACAAUGUAUUGUUAUGUCAGUGAGUCAUACCCUUCAGGGCUUCAGAUCAGUGCCUUGGUUUGCUUUUCCAAGCCAUUCAGAGUAGCAAGCGAAGUCAAGGGACACACUGAGACAUCCUAGAAAUAAAGAUGUAGACCGAACACGUGCUCUUACAGCCCUACUGACUCAGUGAGCAAUAAUUAAGGAAAGAAGAAAUAACAACAACCCAAACGUGCACAGAGAGGCGUGUUACGCUGGCGUCCUACUCAGGGCGUUUAGCACACAGAUGGGUCUCAAGGAGCACCGACCAAGCAUGGCGGUCACCCCUUGCUUCAAGUGUUAGGUGCCAUUUAUCGACCAGGAGAGGACAGGAUUUUACAUGGUACAACGUCUAUACAACAAUUUUAUGCAGUGCGUUUGCGGCAGAACUUUUAAGAGAGCUCAGACAGCAACCCGAGAUUACUUUUUUAAAACAGUUUUCCAAGGGAAGUCCACAGGUGGCUACGGCGACAAGUGGCCGCCGCUUCCUAUCGGUACGGGCAGAACCCCGCCCCGAGCGGCAAGCGCCGUGCUGGGACGGGUUUCGCUUCCACGAGGCUGCCCGUGUGCCGGAGCCUGGAGGCCGCUCUCCGCUGCCAGAGGAGCCGGAGCGGGGCCGAGCCGGGGGCUGUCCCGCGGAACACCGAACUCGGGGCC